rnacentral:lncRNA from 1 species
CAGUGGUUCUUUGAGUGUGGCCCUGGACCAGAAGCAUCAACAUCAACCAGGAACUUACUAGAAAUGCACUUUCUUGGGUGCCCCACAAGACCUGCUGAAUCAGAAACUCUGGGGAUGUAGUUCAACACCUGUGCGCUGACAAGCCCUCCAGGUGAUCCGGAUACAUGCUCACGUUUGAGAACCGUGGCUUUACGGGAGAAAACAGUCAUGAUUGCUUACAACAGAAUACCAUAAAUUGCUUUUUGAAAAGCAGUGCAAUAUAUGGGCAUACUAAAAUUGAAGCAUGACAGAUAAAUAUGACAUCAGGAUGUCAUCCAAUGAAAAAUAGAUUUUUUAUUCUGUGUCCUGGACACGGCAUUGCUGAUUUUUAUUUAUCCACCUUUCUCCUGCCUGAGGGAAAACAAGUAUUUAAAAUGCAUUGCUAUUUGCAUUGAAGAGCUUGUCUGCUCCCUGA